GGAAUUUUGGACAAUGGGGGCAACCCUGAUCCAGCCAUGCCGCGUGAGUGAAGAAGGCCUUCGGGUUGUAAAGCUCUUUCGGUGGGAACGCAACGGGCACGGCUAAUAUCCGUGUUCAAUGACGGUACGCACAGACGAAGCACCCGCUACCUACGUGCCAGCAGCAGCGGUAAUACGUAGGGUGCGAGCGUUAAUCGGAAUUACUGGGCGUAAAGCGUGCGUAGGCGGUUGCACAAGCUUGAUGUGAAAGCCCCGGGCUCAACCUGGGAAUGGCAUUGAGGACUGUGUGGCUUGAGUGCGGCAGAGGGAGGUGGAAUUCCAGGUGUAGCAGUGAAAUGCGUAGAGAUCUGGAGGAACACCGAUGGCGAAGGCAGCCUCCUGGGCCGACACUGACGCUGAGGGCACGAAAGCGUGGGGAGCAAAC
rnacentral:rRNA from 1 species